CAAUAGCGUAUAUUUAAGUUGUUGCAGUUAAAAAGCUCGUAGUUGGAUUUCGGGUAGGAUUUGCCGGUCCGUCUUUGAGAUGUGUACUGGUAAGUCCUAUCUUCUUGUCGGGGACCAGCUCCUGGGCUUCACUGUCCGGGACUGGGAGCCGACGAAGUUACUUUGAGUAAAUUAGAGUGUUCAAAGCAAGCCUACGCUCUGAAUAUAUUAGCAUGGAAUAACACGAUAGGACUCUGGCUUAUCUUGUUGGUCUGUGAGACCAGAGUAAUGAUUAAGAGGGACAGUCGGGGACAUUCGUAUUCCGUUGUCAGAGGUGAAAUUCUUGGAUUUACGGAAGACGAACAUCUGCGAAAGCAUUUGCCAAGGAUGUUUUCAUUGA
rnacentral:rRNA from 1 species